UUACCGUACAAACUUCGCCUCCUGUGUUGUAAAUCUUUUCCAACACCUCCGAAAGCAAUGGCUUUUCACUCAGUGCUUUCAUUGAGCUUCCUGCACAAUUGUACUACAUUGUGAGAAGACCGUAAUAAAGGAGCAAGACGCUCAGCUUCCUGGCUCAUGAAAA